CUUGCCUCUGACGACGAACGGAAAUAGGUACAUCUGCGUUACAAUGGAUUACUUCACCAAGUGGCCGGAAGCCUACGCCAUCCCUGACCAGGAAGCCACUACCAUCGCCAAGGUUUUGGUGGAGGAGUUCUUCUGUCGUUUCGGUGUGGCUAACGAGCUCCAUUCCGACCAGGGAAGGAAUUUUGAGUCAACAGUCCUUGCUGAGUGCUGCAAGCUUCUGGGUAUCAAGAAGACCCGGACCACCCCUCUGCACCCACAGUCAGAUGGAAUGGUGGAGAGGUUUAAUUGGACGUUGGGCCAGGAGUUGGCCAAGCAAUGCAACAAUGAUCAGUCUUCACGGGAUCAGAAGCUGCCUGCGCUCCUCAUGGCCUACAGGUCUGCCGCCCACGAGACUACGGGGUAUUCACCGGCAAAGCUGAUGUUUGGACGUGAGCUGCGAUUGCCGGUGGACCUACUGACAGGAAGGCCUCCUGGAGAAAACCUUCCAAGGGACGCCUCCAGUUUUGCCCGUCAACUAGAGGAACGGCUGGAAGAGGUGCACCAUCAAGUCCGAGGUGCCUUGAAGUUCUCCGGGGAGGCCAUGAAGCGCGGUUACAAUAUGAGGGCAAGCCACGUUAACUUCAAGGAAGGAGACCAAGUCUGGCUUUACAACCCGCAGAGGAAGAAAGGACAGUCUCCGAAGUUACAGAGCCCCUGGGAAGGCCCUUACACUGUGCUAGAACGCCUCUCCGACGUGACUUACCGAUUCCGGAGAACGGAAAAGACCAAGCCGAAAGUUGUCCACGUCAACCGCCUAUGGAGGUACCACGGUCCGGGAAACUACACCUGGAACAACUACAGACACCCAGCAGCCGACGAAAACGCAAGGGACGUCCAGGACCGAGAGGAGGUCGACGACGACCUAAGCCUUCUGGACCUUUCAGCCGAGGGAGAUAACCUCCCGGCUUCGGCAGAUGUUCCAGGGACACCCCAAGAAGCGGACGACGACGAGGCGCACCAGGAGACAGACGCGCAGGAGGCACCGAGCAGAAGACAGAGACAACGCAGGCGUCCACAGCGAUACGACGAUUAUUAUGUUUUUGAUUAAUUCUCUUACGUUUGUAUAUAGUUAAGUGUGUGAUCGGGACGAUCACAAUUAAGAGGGGGGGAUAGUGUUGUGCUGGAAGCUUCCCCCGGCGACCAUAGGCCUCUAGAAGGCUCCCGGAGACACGAGCAAGGGGGUGGGGAGCAAGGCGAGCCAGGCGCCGGGCGGGAAGUGUUGCCAACUCGCACAUAUUUUUGCUACAUGUUCUUGUAUGAUCUAAAAUAUACUGUAACAUUCUAGACUGUACUGUUCUGGAUAUAUAUAGGAGAAGAGGGCGAGAGAGUCCCAGUCAUAGUAAGCUAGUGGUAAGUGAAGAGUCCGAGUGAAGUGUACUACUAGGGAAGAAUAUUAAACUACAGAAGCUGUGCAAAGUGUUUACAUAUCUCCCUCCCACGGAGUCUCCUGACGGCGACACGGAACCCAAGUAACACGUCCGGCAUAACAAUAUGUUAGAAGGAGCUGAUCAACAACUGAGUGAGCCUUACGUACGGAAGCCAAACUGAUUAGAAUCUAAUAAGUUAUUAUUCACGAGAAAAGAUGCCUUGGGUACCUGGCUAUACAGUAACCAGCAGAUAACAUUAUUUCGUCUGAUGUGGAAAUACAUUUACAAUUUGUAUCGUUUGUGGUCCAAUGUAGCGUGUUUGAGGGUCGUGCGUGUAGCGGAAAGUUCCAGUUGGCAACACUGCCAGGUGACAAUAACAGCACGCGCCAAGGCCCGAGCAGCAUCCCUUCUGGCCCUGCCCAACCAGCCCCCUAAAACACCCCAGAAGAAGAAGACGACGAAGGCUCCACACCCACGGGCCAGCGCUGGGGACCUGCUGGCCAGCGACACCCUCAGCCCCAACACUGCCAGGACAACACCUCCACCACCGCCGCCGGGAAGUCUUAACCUUCUCAUGCAGCAGAAGUAGAGCUCUCACGGGCACGUCCACCCUCGACCACGACCACGGACCCUAGGCCGCCGGUGUGUGGAGGAAAAGAGAACAAGGAAAGAACGAGGACAACAACAACACACUCAGCUUCCGCAAAGGUUGGGGCCACCUCACCUGCAGGGCUGGACAGCAGCAUGAGUGGCCAGGACAAGCAGGAGCAGACUGCUGCAGGGGGCAGGAGGGUCAGUGGUCACCAGAUGAAGCAACUGGCUGCUGGCAACUCCAGCAACAAAGGAGAGAGGAAGUUUGUGUGUCUUGAGUGUGGAAAAGAAUUAACCACAAGGCAUGGCCUCAGAUAUCACACCCUUACACACACUGGUGUGAAGAACUAUGAAUGUAAGGAAUGUGGGAAAAAAUUCAUCCUGAAGAGUGACCUUGAUAGACACACCCAUACACACACUGGUGUGAAGAACUAUGAAUGUAAGGAAUGUGGGAAAAAAUUCAUCCGGAAGAGUGACCUUGAUAGACACACCCAUACACACACUGGUGUGAAGAACUAUGAAUGUAAGGAAUGUGGGAAAAAACUCAUCCGGAAGAGUACCCUUGAUAGACACACCCUUACACACACUGGUGUGAAGAACUAUGAAUGUAAGGAAUGUGGGAAAAAAUUCACCCUGAAGGGUAACCUUGAUACACACACCCUUACACACACUGGUGUGAAGAACUAUGAAUGUAAGGAAUGUGGGAAAAAAUUCAUCCGGAAGAGUCACCUUGAUACACACACCCUUACACACACUGGUGUAAAAAGUCAUGAGUGUGAAGAGUGCGGGAAGAGGUUCAGUGUGAAGCAGGCACUCAAUCGACAUGUCUUCAGGCACUAUGGCCUUAGAGAGUUCAAGUGUGAUGUUUGUGGAAAGCUCUUUAAGACAAAGAGAGACAUUGCCAGGCACAUGAAGAUCCACUUCUGAAGUGUGUCUGCCUACAGUAGUUAUAGUGACCAAGAAGGACAAGCAGGACCCGGACGGUGACAUCAUUAUGAGGCUUGAGUACGGUCUCCUGAACUCCUCGUCCCUGGAGCUGAUUGCGCGGAGAUGGUGGUGAGCAUAGCCAAGGGGUGCAAGGAGGAGGUGUGCAAAGUGGACAUGCAGACCGAGGUGGCGUUCCUGGAUGGCAAUAACAGUUCGGUCAUCAUAGGCAAGAUCAACCGGCUUGAGGUGACAGCAAGCAACAAGGGGGAACACGUGUACCUCCCCAGCCUAAUGGUGAGCCUGGCGCCGCCCCUCGUGGUCUUCCAGCCUCCUCACCAGUGCAUCUUCCACUCCUCCGAGCUUGUGUAUAACUUGACCAACCCUCUGAAGAGCAGUGCUGAGAGCGUGUGAAGCAGUUUGCCAACCUGGUCCUGGCCCUCAUGAUGCUGUUCGCCAGGUACAAUCACUGGAUGGUGGGCGACAAGUUUGAGAGACUCGCCCCCUCACUGGUGUUCUUCAUGCUAUCCUGCCGGCUCAUCACUGAGUACCAAAUCCACCGGAAGGAGAAGAUGGACAAGGCGGCGGCAGCGGCCAAGAAGUCACCCGCCGCAGUCGCCGAAGGGAAGGACGGAGGAACAGCCGCCAACUCCAUCGCUGGCGGCUCCACAUCUACUCUCGUCUCCUCCUCCUCCUCCUCGCCCUCCUCCUCCUCCUCCUCCUCCUCCUCCUCCUCGCCCUCCUCCUCCUUUUCUCAACAUGGACGGUCGAAGGAGGAUGUUUAGUGUGGAGAUGUUUGAUUGGGGUUUGUGGUUCAGUGUUUUUAUUUUCAUUUGUGUGUGUGUGUGUGUGUGUGUGUGUGUGUGUGUGUGUGUGUGUGUGCUACCCUUCCCUCCCUCCCUCGCCCCAAUGUUUGUCUCUAGGUGUUUUUAGGCGAUAAGAUGACCUUUCAACACACCUUCUUUCUUUCCUUUAUUCUUUCCCUCUUUACAACGUUAUUGUAAGUAUACGUAACCUUAAACUAAUGAAAUACAAGUUACGUGAACCCUACCCUCGAGAUAUGUUAUUUUGAUCUCUGUACGUAUAGGCAAGAUUACGUCUCUUAAACUAACGAUAUAUAAGUUAUGUCAACCUUAACCUGCGAGGUGUUUGUAUAAGUAACCUCAAUUCACUGGUAUGUUUGUAUAAGUAACUUCAAUUCACUGGUAUGUUUGUAUAAGUAACUUCAAUUCACUGGUAUGUUUGUAUAAGUCACCUCAAUUCACUGGUAUGUUUGUAUAAGUAACCUCAAUUCACUGGUAUGUUUGUAUAAGUAACCUCAAUUCAUUUCAUAUGUUGUAUGUUACUGUGAUCUCUAUGUAUAGUGAAGAUUACAUCCUUUAAACUAGCAAAAUAUAAGGUACACCAACCUUACCUUUGAGAUGUUUGUAUGAGUAACCUCAAUUAACUCGUAUGUCGUAUGUUACUUUGACCUGUACGUAUAGAGAAGAUUAUGUCAUUUAAACUACCAAAAUAUAAGUUACGCCAACCUUACCUACGAGAUGUUUGUAUAAGUAACCUCAUUUCAUUUCAUAUGUUGCCUUGAUCUGUAUGUAUAGGGAAGAUUACAUCAUUUAAACUGAUGGAAUAUAACUUGUCAACCUUACUUACGAGAUGUUUGUUUAAGUAACUUCAAUUCACACUUUGAUCUCUGUACGUCGAGGCAAGGUUACGUCAGCCCAGCACUCACUGUUUGCUUAUUUCUCGUCUUUACGUAGACGUAACACUACGAUCCUUGUAUUGCUGUAAGACUUGUGUUGUGGAGAGGAAGUAUUGCUGUAGGACUUGUGUUAUGGAGAGGAAGUAUUGCUAUAGGACUUGUGUUGUGGAGAGGAAGUAUUGCUGUAGGACUUGUGUUGUGGAGAGGAAGUAUUGCUGUAGGACUUGUGUUGUGGAGAGGAAGUAUUGCUGUAGGACUUGUGUUGUGGAGAGGAAGUAUUGCUGUAGGACUUGUGUUGUGGAGAGGAAGUAUUGCUGUAGGACUUGUGUUGUGGAGAGGAAGUAUUGCUAUAGGACUUGUGUUGUGGACAGACAAACAACGUAAUAUAAUCUUAUAAGGGAAGUAAGAGUGUUAUAAAAAUUGCAACAGUUUGUCAGAAA